rnacentral:rRNA from 1 species
GAAACGACUGCUAAGACUGGAUAGGAGAUAAGAAGGCAUCUUUUUAUUUUUAAAAGACCUAGCAAUAGGUAUGCUUAGGGAAGAGCUUGCGUCACAUUAGUUAGUUGGUGGGGUAAUGGCCUACCAAGACGAUGAUGUGUAGCCGGGCUGAGAGGUCGAACGGCCACAUUGGGACUGAGACACGGCCCAAACUCCUACGGGAGGCAGCAGUAAGGAAUUUUCGGCAAUGGAGGAAACUCUGACCGAGCAAUGCCGCGUGAACGAUGAAGUAUUUCGGUACGUAAAGUUCUUUUAUUAGGGAAGAAAAGAUGGUGGAAAAACCAUUAUGACGGUACCUAAUGAAUAAGCCCCGGCUAACUAUGUGCCAGCAGCCGCGGUAAUACAUAGGGGGCAAGCGUUAUCCGGAAUUAUUGGGCGUAAAGGGUGCGUAGGCGGUUAAAUAAGUUUAUGGUCUAAGUGCAACGCUCAACGUUGUGAUGCUAUAAAAACUGUUUAGCUAGAGUUGGAUAGAGGCAAGUGGAAUUCCGUGUGUAGUGGUAAAAUGCGUAAAUAUACGGAGGAACACCAGGAGCGGAGGCGGCUUGCUGGGUCUUAACUGACGCUGAGGCACGAAAGCGUGGGGAGCAAACAGGAUUAGAUACCCUGGUAGUCCACGCCCUAAACGAUGAGUACUAAACGUUGGAUAAAACCAGUGUUGAAGUUAACACAUUAAGUACUCCGCCUGAGUAGUACGUACGCAAGUAUGAAACUUAAAGGAAUUGACGGGACUCCGCACAAGCGGUGGAUCAUGUUGUUUAAUUCGAAGGUACCCGAAAAACCUCACCAGGUCUUGACAUGCUUUUGCAAAGCUGUAGAAAUACAGUGGAGGUUAUCAGAAGCACAGGUGGUGCAUGGUUGUCGUCAGCUCGUGUCGUGAGAUGUUGGGUUAAGUCCCGCAACGAGCGCAACCCUUGUUGUUAAUUGCCAUCAUUAAGUUGGGGACUUUAGCAAGACUGCCAAUGAUAAAUUGGAGGAAGGUGGGGACGACGUCAAAUCAUCAUGCCCCUUAUGACCUGGGCUACAAACGUGAUACAAUGGCUGUUACAAAGGGUAGCUAAAGCGUAAGCUUCUGGCGAAUCUCAAAAAAGCAGUCUCAGUUCGGAUUGAAGUCUGCAACUCGACUUCAUGAAGUUGGAAUCGCUAGUAAUCGCGAAUCAGCAUGUCGUGGUGAAUACGUUCUCGGGGUUUGUACACACCGCCCGUCA